UUUAAUUACAACCAUGAGUUUCCAUACCCAAUUUUGAUCGUCUGUCUUAUUUGAAAUUUUUUUAUAAUUAGUAUUUUUGUUGUUAUGAGAUAAUAAAACAUAAAUCGUAUUUUACUCGUGACUUAUAUUUUUCAUUUUUUUUUCAAAAACUUUUCAAAUAAGACGGACGAUCAAAGUUGGACGUGGAAAAUAAUGGCUACACUUAAA
rfam:Oryza glumipatula chromosome 10, whole genome shotgun sequence.